UACGUAGGGUGCAAGCGUUGUCCGGAAUUAUUGGGCGUAAAGAGCGUGUAGGCGGCCAUACAGGUCCGUUGUGAAAACUGGAGGCUUAACCUCCAGACGUCGAUGGAAACCGUGUGGCUAGAGUCCGGAAGAGGAGAGUGGAAUUCCUGGUGUAGCGGUGAAAUGCGCAGAUAUCAGGAAGAACACCCGUGGCGAAGGCGGCUCUCUGGGACGGUACUGACGCUGAGACGCGAAAGCGUGGGGAGCGAACAGG
rnacentral:rRNA from 1 species